GAUCUUAUAGUUUAACCAAAAAUAUUAAAUUGCAAAUUUAAAGUUAAUGAAUGUUUAAGAUUU
rnacentral:tRNA from 1 species